GGUUAAUUAAUUAAUUCAUAUUUUCUCCUAUAUGAAUGGACUGAGAGUGAUUCCAUAUUUUGUAUUAUGAUAGGAAUCUGUGGAUCUGAUACUGUUGGUCCAUGAAGCCGAUUUCAGCAACUACAUUU